rnacentral:rRNA from 1 species
AGGACACGCUCUUGCAGUGUGGCCGAAUGAGAUCUCAGUAGAAGCUUCCAACUACUUUAGUCAACUUUAGAUUAGACCUCAGAUCAGGCAGGAUUACCCGCUGAACUUAAGCAUAUCAAUAAGCGGAGGAAAAGAAACUAACAAGGAUUCCCCUAGUAACGGCGAGUGAAGCGGGAAGAGCUCAAAUUUGUAAUCUGGCACUUUCAGUGUCCGAGUUGUAAUCUCGAGAAGUAUUUUCCGCGCCGGACUGCAUACAAGUCUGUUGGAAUACAGCGUCAUAGUGGUGAGAACCCCGUAACUGAUGCAGAUGCCCGGUGCUUUGUGAUAUACUUUCGAAGAGUCGAGUUGUUUGGGAAUGCAGCUCAAAUUGGGUGGUAAAUUCCAUCUAAAGCUAAAUAUUGGAGCAAGACCGAUAGCGAACAAGUACCGUGAGGGAAAGAUGAAAAGCACUUUGGAAAGAGAGUUAACAGUACGUGAAAUUGUUGGAAGGGAAACGCUUGAAGUCAGACUUGCUAUUCGGAGUUCAGCCGCAAGGUGUAUUCUUCGAUUUGCAGGCCAGCAUCAGUUUUCGGGGGUGGAAAAUCGUGGUUUGAAGGUAGCAACUUCGGUUGUGUUAUAGCUUUCCACUGGAUUCAUCUUUGGGGACUGAGGAACGCAGUACGCUUUUUGCAAGGCCCUCGGGCUUUUCGUACUUAGGAUGCUGGUGGAAUGGCUUUAAACGACCCGUCUUGAAACACGGACCAAGGAGUCUAACAUGCUUGCGAGUGUUUGGGUGUCAAACCCGGACGCGCAAUGAAAGUGAAUGGAGGUGGGAUCCGCAAGGU